rnacentral:rRNA from 1 species
UACGUAGGGGGCGAGCGUUGUCCGGAUUUAUUGGGCGUAAAGAGCGUGUAGGCGGCCAGGUAGGUCUGCUGUGAAAACUCGAGGCUCAACCUCGGGCCUGCAGUGGGUACGGGCAGACUGGAGUGCGGUAGGGGAGACUGGAAUUCCUGGUGUAGCGGUGAAAUGCGCAGAUAUCAGGAGGAACACCGGUGGCGAAGGCGGGUCUCUGGGCCGUAACUGACGCUGAGGAGCGAAAGCAUGGGGAGCGAACAGG